CAGGACGACAAAUCACUUCCGACUCCCCUACCGGUGGCAUAAGAACUGUGCCACCUGAGUACAUUUCUCAACGUUAAAAGGGGAGCAUUAUGGGAGACGGAGUUUUAGCCUCGGUGAUUUAAAAACACAAAAGGGGCGUUUUAUCCAUACAAUCAUCAUCUAUAACCGCAUUGCCUGGGCAGGGUCGCGGGGGGGUGCUGGAGCCUAUCUCACUCACAAGUCCUUAGAAGGUGACGUGUUACGCACAAUGGAUUUCAGUGAUAUUGUUACAAACUUCUCAGCUUGAAAAUCAAGAAAGAAGAGCUUCAAAAUCGGUGCACUGUUUAGCUGUAAUCUGGUGGGACGCAUCAUUGGGAUUUGUGGCUGUGAUUAUCUGGUUGAGGUGUGCACCUGCAGAUUUAUGCAUCUAUUUCAUGCUCACCAUCAAAAUGGUCUCAUCAAAAUGCCACCCAAGCCAUGACCAAACACCUGGAAUUCUGUACCUGGGACACACCUUACGCUCCAGACUGGAUCUGCUGAGACCUAACUGAUGUAGGACUUUUCCACGGAGACAGAAGAAACAAGGUCAGUGUAAAGAAGAGACGCGACAGCUGGAGAAACGGUACUCCCCAGAAACUAAAAAAGGACACUGCAUGUGGAUACCUGUGAGGGUUAAAGAAAGAACCUGACCUCUCUCCAUCACAGUGA